CCUCUCAUGGCGUAGGGGUAACGCGCCCUAACUAAAAAUCAGGGAGUCGUGAGUUCGAUUCUCACUGAGAAGA
rnacentral:tRNA from 1 species